CCAAAAACUCUUGGUGCAAAUCCAAGUAGCAGCU
rnacentral:tRNA from 1 species